rnacentral:rRNA from 1 species
AUUGAACGCUGGCGGCAUGCCUUACACAUGCAAGUCGAACGGUAACAGGUCUUCGGAUGCUGACGAGUGGCGAACGGGUGAGUAAUACAUCGGAACGUGCCUAGUAGUGGGGGAUAACUACUCGAAAGAGUGGCUAAUACCGCAUGAGAUCUACGGAUGAAAGCAGGGGAUCGCAAGACCUUGUGCUACUAGAGCGGCCGAUGGCAGAUUAGGUAGUUGGUGGGAUAAAAGCUUACCAAGCCGACGAUCUGUAGCUGGUCUGAGAGGACGAUCAGCCACACUGGGACUGAGACACGGCCCAGACGCCUACGGGAGGCAGCGGUGGGGAAUUUUGGACAAUGGGCGAAAGCCUGAUCCAGCAAUGCCGCGUGCAGGAUGAAGGCCUUCGGGUUGUAAACUGCUUUUGUACGGAACGAAAAGCCCCGGGUUAAUACCCUGGGGUCAUGACGGUACCGUAAGAAUAAGCACCGGCUAACUACGCGCCAGCAGCCGCUGUAA